UACGGGGGGGCAAGCGUUGUUCGGAAUUACUGGGCGUAAAGGGCUCGUAGGCGGCCAACUAAGUCAGACGUGAAAUCCCUCGGCUUAACCGGGGAACUGCGUCUGAUACUGGAUGGCUUGAGUUUGGGAGAGGGAUGCGGAAUUCCAGGUGUAGCGGUGAAAAUGCGUAGAUAUCUGGAGGAACACCGGUGGCGAAGGCGGCAUCCUGGACCCAACACU
rnacentral:rRNA from 1 species